GGACGAACGCUGGCGGCGUGCUUAACACAUGCAAGUCGAACGGAAAGGCCCCUUUGGGGGUACUCGAGUGGCGAACGGGUGAGUAACACGUGAGUAACCUGCCCUUGACUUCGGGAUAACUUCAGGAAACUGGGGCUAAUACCGGAUAGGAAUCCUUGCUGCAUGGUGGGGGUUGGAAAGCUUCGGCGGUUUUGGAUGGACUCGCGGCUUAUCAGCUUGUUGGUGGGGUUGUGGCUUACCAAGGCUUUGACGGGUAGCCGGCCUGAGGGGGCGACCGGCCACAUGGGGCCGGGGGUACGGCCCAGACCCCUACGGGGGGGAGGAGUGGGGAAUAUUGCAAAAGGGGGGGAAGCCUGAUGGAGCAACGCCGGGGGGGGGAUGACGGCCUUCGGGUUGUAAACCGCUUUCAGGAGGGGGGAAGCUUUUGGGACGGUACCGGCAAAAGAAGCACCGGCUAACUACGU
rnacentral:rRNA from 1 species